rnacentral:rRNA from 1 species
UCAGAGGUGGAAGCGUGGUGACACGUGGAGCUGACUGAUACUAAUCGGUCGAGGACUUAACUA